rnacentral:rRNA from 1 species
AGCUUGCUCCCGGAUGUUAGCGGCGGACGGGUGAGUAACACGUGGGUAACCUGCCUGUAAGACUGGGAUAACUCCGGGAAACCGGAGCUAAUACCGGAUAGUUCCUUGAACCGCAUGGUUCAAGGAUGAAAGGCGGUUUCGGCUGUCACUUACAGAUGGACCCGCGGCGCAUUAGCUAGUUGGUGGGGUAAUGGCUCACCAAGGCGACGAUGCGUAGCCGACCUGAGAGGGUGAUCGGCCACACUGGGACUGAGACACGGCCCAGACUCCUACGGGAGGCAGCAGUAGGGAAUCUUCCGCAAUGGACGAAAGUCUGACGGAGCAACGCCGCGUGAGUGAUGAAGGUUUUCGGAUCGUAAAGCUCUGUUGUUAGGGAAGAACAAGUGCGAGAGUAACUGCUCGCACCUUGACGGUACCUAACCAGAAAGCCACGGCUAACUACGUGCCAGCAGCCGCGGUAAUACGUAGGUGGCAAGCGUUGUCCGGAAUUAUUGGGCGUAAAGGGCUCGCAGGCGGUUUCUUAAGUCUGAUGUGAAAGCCCCCGGCUCAACCGGGGAGGGUCAUUGGAAACUGGGAAACUUGAGUGCAGAAGAGGAGAGUGGAAUUCCACGUGUAGCGGUGAAAUGCGUAGAGAUGUGGAGGAACACCAGUGGCGAAGGCGACUCUCUGGUCUGUAACUGGCGCUGAGGAGCGAAAGCGUGGGGAGCGGACAGGAUUAGAUACCCUGGUAGUCCACGCCGUAAACGAUGAGUGCUAAGUGUUAGGGGGUUUCCGCCCCUUAGUGCUGCAGCUAACGCAUUAAGCACUCCGCCUGGGGAGUACGGUCGCAAGACUGAAACUCAAAGGAAUUGACGGGGGCCCGCACAAGCGGUGGAGCAUGUGGUUUAAUUCGAAGCAACGCGAAGAACCUUACCAGGUCUUGACAUCCUCUGACAACCCUAGAGAUAGGGCUUUCCCUUCGGGGACAGAGUGACAGGUGGUGCAUGGUUGUCGUCAGCUCGUGUCGUGAGAUGUUGGGUUAAGUCCCGCAACGAGCGCAACCCUUGAUCUUAGUUGCCAGCAUUUAGUUGGGCACUCUAAGGUGACUGCCGGUGACAAACCGGAGGAAGGUGGGGAUGACGUCAAAUCAUCAUGCCCCUUAUGACCUGGGCUACACACGUGCUACAAUGGACAGAACAAAGGGCUGCGAGACCGCAAGGUUUAGCCAAUCCCAUAAAUCUGUUCUCAGUUCGGAUCGUAGUCUGCAACUCGACUGCGUGAAGCU